rnacentral:rRNA from 1 species
UGGGGGAUAUUGCACAAUGGGCGAAAGCCUGAUGCAGCGACGCCGCGUGGGGGAUGAAGGCCUUCGGGUUGUAAACUUCUUUUGCUCUGCACAAGGCAUGCCUUUGGGGUGUGUUGAGUGUAGGGGUUGAUUAGCGCCGGCUAACUACGUGCCAGCAGCCGCGGUAAUACGUAGGGCGCGAGCGUUGUCCGGAAUUAUUGGGCGUAAAGGGCUUGUAGGUGGCUGGUUGCGUCUGUCGUGAAAGCUCAUGGCUUAACUGUGGGUUUGCGGUGGGUACGGGCUGGCGUGAGUGCAGUAGGGGAGGCUGGAAUUCCUGGUGUAGCGGUGGAAUGCGGAGAUAUCAGGAGGAAUACCGGUGGCGAAGGCGGGUCUCUGGGCUGUUACUGACGCUGAGGAGCGAAAGCGUGGGGAGCGAACAGG